rnacentral:rRNA from 1 species
UACGUAGGGUGCGAGCGUUAAUCGGAAUUACUGGGCGUAAAGGGUGCGUAGGCGGUUCCGCAAGUCCUGUGUGAAAUCUUCGGGCUCAACUCGAAGUCUGCACGGGAAACUGCCGGGCUUGAGUAUGGGAGAGGUGAGUGGAAUUCCUGGUGUAGCGGUGAAAUGCGUAGAUAUCAGGAGGAACACCUGUGGCGAAAGCGGCUCACUGGACCAUAACUGACGCUGAUGCACGAAAGCUAGGGGAGCAAACAGG